rnacentral:rRNA from 1 species
AACGCGAAGAACCUUACCUGGGUUUGACAUCCUGUGAAUAUUUUAGAGAUAGAAUCGGCCCGCAAGGGACACAGAGACAGGUGCUGCAUGGCUGUCGUCAGCUCGUGUUGUGAAAUGUUGGGUUAAGUCCCGCAACGAGCGCAACCCUUGCCAUUGGUUGCCACCAUUUAGUUGGGCACUCCAAUGGGACUGCCGUCGUCAAGACGGAGGAAGGUGGGGAUGACGUCAAGUCCUCAUGGCCUUUAUAUCCAGGGCGACACACGUGAUACAAUGGUAGGUACAGAGGGUAGCGAAGUGGUGACACGGAGCCAAUCUCAAAAAGCCUAUCUCAGUUCGGAUUGGAGUCUGCAACUCGACUCCAUGAAGUUGGAAUCGCUAGUAAUCGCGGAUCAGCACGCCGCGGUGAAUACGUUCCCGGGCCUUGUACACACCGUAGUA